rnacentral:misc_RNA from 1 species
GGGGGGUUUGAGGGAGGGGUUGAAGGGUUUUUUUAUUGGGGGGGGGGUCGAUGCGGUGCUGCCCUUAUUUGGCUUUGGGGUUCCGGAAUUUGCGGCCGGCGAAUUUGGCCUUAUCUCCAAGAGCCUCCUCGAUCCUCAUCAGUUGGUUGUAUUUGGCCAAGCGCUCAGAGCGGCACGGAGCGCCUGUCUUAAUCUGCCCGGUGCACAGCCCCACCACGAGGUCGGCGAUGAAGGUGUCCUCGGUCUCCCCGGAGCGGUGGCUCACCAUCACCCCCCAGCCGUGGCUCUGCGCCAGCUUGCAUGCCUGGAUGGACUCCGUGACGGAGCCGAUCUGGUUGACUUUGAGCAGCAGGCAGUUGCAGGCGUGCUGCUCGGCCGCGUGGGCGAUGCGUUUGGGGUUGGUGACCGUCAGGUCGUCCCCCACCACCUGGAUGUCCACGUGGGACACGAAGCGCUUCCACGCCUCCCAGUCGUCCUGGUCAAAGGGGUCCUCGAUGGACACCACCGGGUAGUCCUUGAUGAAUCCCCUGUAGAUCUCUCCCAGCUGCUCGCCGGUGAUGAGCCGUUUGGGGUCGGGGGGGCUCUUGAAGUCGAGGUCGUAGCGGCCGUCGCGGCAGAACUCGGAGGCGGCCACGUCCAUCCCGAUCACCACCUUGUCGGUGUAACCCGCCUGGGCGAUGGCGGCCUUCAGCAGCUCCAGAGCUUCGUGGUUAUCCAGGAUGUUGGGGGCGAACCCCCCCUCGUCGCCCACGUUGGUGGCGUCCUUGCCGUACUUGGCCUUGAUGACCCCCUUGAGGCUGUGGUACACCUCGGCCCCCACCCGCAUGGCGUCGUGGAACGACGCGGCCCCCACCGGCAGCACCAUGAACUCCUGCAUGGCCAGCUUAUUACCAGCGUGAGAACCGCCGUUGAUCACAUUAAAGGCAGG